AGUCACCACAUGCCAAGGCCCAGAAAUUUUCCAUUUCACUGAUAAGCCUUCUUUCACAUCCCAAAAAGGAGUUUCAGCUAAAGAAACAAAGAAUCUAUCUGCCAAAAUACCUUUCCAAAUUAUGCUCAAUAAUCUCAGAAGCAAAAAACAAGCCCUAUUGAAAAAACAGAACCAGUUCAUCUGGGAAGAAUCUCUACAGAGAACAAAACAAAGGCAGGGAUAAGAGAAACUCAAAACUGCUGCUGGAAGAAAAACGAGCAAGGACUUCUGGAAACAAGAGUUUAGGAAGGAGAAGUAAUUUGCAG
rnacentral:lncRNA from 1 species